UUAAAAUACAAAGUGAUGUAGCAAAAUAUUCGACAAUUUUUUUAGCAUAUUUAGAAAUAUUUAAAUACAUGAGUUGCUGUUGUUGAAAGCAAAAAUCUAAAUAGGCUAAAAAGACAUAAGAUCGAUUUGUUUCACCGAAGUAAAAUUUCAGUUAAAAUAAAUUUUCGCUUCAAGUGAAAAUCACACUUUUAUUAUUUGCUUCUAUAACAGUAGAAAUAAAGUUUUUUUUAGUUUUGAUGUGUUUGCAAAAAAGAAUAACGUAAAAACUAAAUUUUUUUAUUAUUAAUAUCUUAAUUUUUUUUCGUAAUUAACUUCUAUAUAUUUUA
rnacentral:lncRNA from 1 species